UCUGGGCCACAGCACCCUGAACGCCUCCAACCUUGUCUGAUCUCAGAAGCUAAGCAGGGUCAGGCCUGGUUAGUCCUUGGAUGGGAGAAAGCAAAUGGAAGACGUUCAACAGAC
rnacentral:rRNA from 1 species